UACGUAGGGUGCAAGCGUUAAUCGGAAUUACUGGGCGUAAAGGGCUCGUAGGCGGCCAACUAAGUCAGACGUGAAAUCCCUCGGCUUAACCGGGGAACUGCAUCUGAUACUGGAUGGCUUGAGUUCGGGAGAGGGAUGCGGAAUUCCAGGUGUAGCGGUGAAAUGCGUAGAUAUCAGGAGGAACACCGAUGGCGAAGGCAGGUCUCUGGGCCAUAACUGACGCUGAGAAGCGAAAAGCAUGGGGAGCGAACAGG
rnacentral:rRNA from 1 species